GGAAUUGACGGGACCCGCACAAGCAGCGGAGCGUGUGGUUAAUUCGUUGCUACACGAAGAACCUUACCUGGGUUUGACAUAUAGGUUGUAGGGAACUGAAAAGGGACCGACCCUUCGGGGAGCCUAUACAGGUGUUGCAUGGCUGUCGUCAGCUCGUGUCGUGAGAUGUUCGGUUAAGUCCGCUAACGAGCGCAACCCUCGUCGUAUGUUAUAUGUGUCAUACGAGACUGCCGGUAAAAAGCCGGAGGAAGGUGAGGAUGAUGUCAAGUCAGCAUGACCUUUAUAUCCAGGGCUACACACACGCUACAAUGGUCUGUACAAUGGGUAGCCAAGCCGCGAGGCGGAGCCAAUCCUGAAAGCAGGCCUCAGUUCAGAUUGCAGUCUGCAACUCGACUGCAUGAAGUUGGAAUCGCUAGUAAUCGCGGAUCAGCAUGCCGCGGUCGAAUACGUUCCGGGCCUU
rnacentral:rRNA from 1 species